rnacentral:rRNA from 1 species
UGAGGAAUAUUGGUCAAUGGGCGAGAGCCUGAACCAGCCAAGUCGCGUGAAGGAUUACGGCCCUAUGGGUCUUAAACUUCUUUUGUAUAGGGGUAAAGUCAUAUACGUGUAUAUGAUUGCAAGUACUAUACGAAUAAGGAUCGGCUAACUCCGUGCCAGCAGCCGCGGUAAUACGGAGGAUCCGAGCGUUAUCCGGAUUUAUUGGGUUUAAAGGGUGCGUAGGCGGGAGUUCAAGUCAGUGGUGAAAUGGUGUGGCUCAACCAUAGCAUUGCCGUUGAAACUGAAUUUCUUGAGUGCAGUAGAGGUAUGCGGAAUGUGUUGUGUAGCGGUGAAAUGCAUAGAUAUGACACAGAACACCGAUUGCGAAGGCAGCAUACUGGACUGUAACUGACGCUGAAGCACGAAAGCGUGGGGAUCGAACAGG